ensembl:miRNA gga-mir-1727 gga-mir-1727
GGACAGACUUAGAUCAGCAGGAAAAGCUGCUCUAAUGAACUGAAGGUUUUGACAGCCAGCCUAGUGUUCAUAUGAACAGCUAUUUCUUGUUGCUGAGAAAACUGCC